rnacentral:rRNA from 1 species
AGAGUUUGAUCCUGGCUCAGAACGAACGCUGGCGGCGCGCCUAACACAUGCAAGUCGAACGAGCGAACCGUUUUUGAUCCUUCGGGUGAAGAGAUGGUGAGCUAGUGGCGGACGGGUGAGUAACACGUGAGUAAUUUGCCCUACAGAAGGGGAUAACGGUUAGAAAUGAUCGCUAAUACCCUAUAAAGUAUGUUUUUCGCAUGUAAGGCAUACCAAAUGGAGUAGUGAUAUUUUGCUGUAGGAUGAGCUCGCGUCCGAUUAUGAUAGUUGGUGGGGCAAUGGCCUACCAAGUCUACGAUCGGUAGCCGAACUGAGAGGUUGAACGGCCACAUUGGGACUGAGACACGGCCCAGACUCCUACGGGAGGCAGCAGUGAGGGAUAUUGCACAAUGGGGGAAACCCUGAUGCAGCGACGCCGCGUGAGGGAAGAAGGUUUUUGGAUUGUAAACCUCUGUCUUUAGAGAAGAUAAUGACGGUAUUUAAAGAGGAAGCUCCGGCUAACUACGUGCCAGCAGCCGCGGUAAUACGUAGGGAGCGAGCGUUGUCCGGAAUUACUGGGUAUAAAGGGAGCGUAGGCGGGUAUGCAAGUUAAAUGUGAAAUUUAUGAGCUCAACUCAUAAACUGCGUUUAAAACUGCAAAUCUUGAGUGAAGCAGAGGCAGGUGGAAUUCCUAGUGUAGCGGUGAAAUGCGUAGAUAUUAGGAGGAACACCAGUGGCGAAGGCGGCCUGCUAGGUUUUUACUGACGCUGAGGCUCGGAAGCAUGGGGAGCAAACAGGAUUAGAUACCCUGGUAGUCCAUGCCGUAAACGAUGAUUACUAGGUGUAGGCGUGCAAGCGUCUGUGCCGGAGUUAAUACAAUAAGUAAUCCACCUGGGGAGUACGACCGCAAGGUUAAAACUCAAAGGAAUUGACGGGGGCCCGCACAAGCAGUGGAGUAUGUGGUUUAAUUCGAUGCAACGCGAAGAACCUUACCAGGUUUUGACAUCCCGCUAACUAGAUGGAAACGUUUAGGUGCCUAUUUUUAGGAAAGCGGAGACAGGUGGUGCAUGGUUGUCGUCAGCUCGUGUCGUGAGAUGUUGGGUUAAGUCCCGAAACGAGCGCAACCCUUGCUGAUAGUUGCUACGCGAGAGCACUCUAUUAGGACUGCCGUUGACAAAACGGAGGAAGGAGGGGAUGACGUCAAAUCAUCAUGCCCCUUACAACCUGGGCUACACACGUACUACAAUGGCCAUUAACAGAGGGAAGCGAAGUUGCGAAGCGGAGCGAAUCCCGAAAAGUGGUCUCAGUUCGGAUUGCAGGCUGCAACCCGCCUGCAUGAAGUAGGAAUUGCUAGUAAUCGCAGAUCAGAAUGUUGCGGUGAAUACGUUCCCGGGCCUUGUACACACCGCCCGUCACACCAUGAGAGUUGGCAACACCCGAAGUCAGUUGUCUAACCGUGAGGAGGACGCUGCCGAAGGUGGGGUUAAUGAUUGGGGUGAAGUCGUUACAAGGUAACC